rnacentral:rRNA from 1 species
CCUACGGGGGGCAGCAGUGGGGAAUAUUGCACAAUGGGGGGAACCCUGAUGCAGCGACGCCGCGUGGGUGAAGAAGCGCCUCGGCGCGUAAAGCCCUGUCAGCAGGGAAGAAAAUGACGGUACCUGAAGAAGAAGCCCCGGCUAACUACGUGACAGCAGCCGCGGGAAUACGGAGGGGGCAAGCGUUAUCCGGAUUUACUGGGUGUAAAGGGGGCGCAGACGGCGAUGCAAGCCAGGAGUGAAAGCCCGGGGGCCAACCCCGGGACUGCUCUUGAAACUGCGUGGCUGGAGUGCAGGAGGGGCAGGCGGAAUUCGUGGUGUAGCGGUGAAAUGCGUAGAGAUCAGGAGGAACACCGGUGGCGAAGGCGGCCUGCUGGACUGCAACUGACGUUGAGGCCCGAAAGCGUGGGGAGCAAACAGGAUUAGAUACCCGAGUAGUC